rnacentral:rRNA from 1 species
CCUACGGGUGGCAGCAGUGGGGAAUAUUGGGCAAUGGGCGCAAGCCUGACCCAGCAACGCCGCGUGAAGGAAGAAGGCUUUCGGGUUGUAAACUUCUUUUCUCAGGGACGAAGAAAGUGACGGUACCGGAGGAAUAAGCCACGGCUAACUACGUGCCAGCAGCCGCGGUAAUACGUAGGUGGCAAGCGUUAGCCGGAUUUAUUGGGUGUAAAGGGCGUGUAGGCGGGAGCGGAAGUCAGAUGGGAAAACUCAGGGCUCAACCCUGAGCCUGCAUUUGAAACGGUGUUUCUUGAGUGCUGGAGAGGCCAUCGGCAUUCCGUGUGUAGCGGUGAAAUGCGUAGGUAUCCGGAGGCACACCAGUGGCGACGGCGGAUUGCUGGACAGUAACUGACGCUGCGGCGCGCAAGCGUGGGGAGCAAACAGGAUUAGAUACCCCAGUAGUC